rnacentral:rRNA from 1 species
GACGAACGCUGGCGGCGUGCUUAACACAUGCAAGUCGAACGGAAAGGCCCUGCUUUUGUGGGGUGCUCGAGUGGCGAACGGGUGAGUAACACGUGAGUAACCUGCCCUUGACUUUGGGAUAACUUCAGGAAACUGGGGCUAAUACCGGAUAGGAGCUCCUGCUGCAUGGUGGGGGUUGGAAAGUUUCGGCGGUUGGGGAUGGACUCGCGGCUUAUCAGCUUGUUGGUGGGGUAGUGGCUUACCAAGGCUUUGACGGGUAGCCGGCCUGAGAGGGUGACCGGCCACACUGGGACUGAGGUACGGCACAGACUCCUACGGGAGGCAGCAGUGGGGAAUAUUGCACAAUCGGCGGAAGCCUGAUGAAGCAGCGCCGCGUGCGGGAUGACGGCCUUCGUGUUGUAAACCGCUUUCGCCUGUGACGAAGCGUGAGUGGCGGUAAUGGGUAAAGAAGCACCGGCUAACUACGUG